rnacentral:rRNA from 1 species
CACGCCGUAAACGAUGGGUGCUAGGUGUAGGAGGUAUCGACCCCUUCUGUGCCGUAGUUAACACAAUAAGCACCCCGCCUGGGGAGUACGGCCGCAAGGUUGAAACUCAAAGGAAUUGACGGGGGCCCGCACAAGCGGUGGAGCAUGUGGUUUAAUUCGACGCAACGCGAAGAACCUUACCAGGGUUUGACAUCCCCUGACAGCCAUUGAAAGGUGGUUUUCUAUCUUCGGAUAGACAGGGAGACAGGUGG